UGGGGAAUUUUGGACAAUGGGCGAAAGCCUGAUCCAGCAAUGCCGCGUGUGUGAAGAAGGCCUUCGGGUUGUAAAGCACUUUUGUCCGGAAAGAAAUCCUUGGCUCUAAUACAGUCGGGGGAUGACGGUACCGGAAGAAUAAGCACCGGCUAACUACGUGCCAGCAGCCGCGGUAAUACGUAGGGUGCAAGCGUUAAUCGGAAUUACUGGGCGUAAAGCGUGCGCAGGCGGUUUGCUAAGACCGAUGUGAAAUCCCCGGCGUCAACCUGGGAACUGCAUUGGUGAUCUGGCAGGCUAGAGUAUGGCAGAGGGGGGUAGAAUUCCACGUGUAGCAGUGAAAUGCGUAGAGAUGUGGAGGAAUACCGAUGGCG
rnacentral:rRNA from 1 species